rnacentral:rRNA from 1 species
GACGAACCGUGCGAACGUUGUUCGGAUUCACUGGGCUUAAAGGGCGCGUAGGCGGGCACCCGAGUCGGGGGUGAAAUCUUUCGGCCCAACCGGAAAAGGGCCCCCGAUACUGGAUGCCUCGAGGGGGGUAGGGGCAUGCGGAACUUCCGGUGGAGCGGUGAAAUGCGUAGAUAUCGGAAGGAACGCCGGUGGCGAAAGCGGCGUGCUGGACCCCUUCUGACGCUGAGGCGCGAAAGCCAGGGGAGCAAACGGG